CGAGGAGAAAGUUAGGCUCAAUCGAGUGCUAGCACGAUUUUCUUGAACCUAAUUGGAUCUUAUCCAAAUCAAUUGGACUAGCCAAUUGAUGACAUCCAGACCCUAACCCUUAUUUGUGUAACCCAGUUAGGUUCAAUUCUGUAUGGUAAUGAGAUAUGUCGUGAUCUCAUCAUCGACAUCAUCGAAACUCCUUUCGAUGAAUCAGAACUCUUCUGAUUCAGACAAUUAGAAUGAUCGAUCAUCAAAAUCAUUCUAAUUGCUCCCAAAAUCUAACAGUGACACCUAGCAGUAUAUGGUGGC
rnacentral:lncRNA from 1 species